rnacentral:misc_RNA from 1 species
CAACGCAUCGCCAAGUGUAGGCUAAAAAGACUAAUUUCUUCUGAUAUUCAUCACCACAACACCAAGCGCUGUAUUUGUCGAGGUGCCAUUUCUUCUGUCUACUCAAAAGUACGAAGAAGAAAAUUCAGCAAAAUAUUCUCUAAAAUCAUAAUUCUCAAGCAGAGUUUGAAAUUAAGAAAUACAACAAUAAUGAUAAAGAAAAUGACAAGCAGCAUGGGAAAGUAUUAAUCAGAAAGGUUAAAAUUAAGUUUAUUGAUGUAGGGACUGUUCCUGAUCACGACUUGCGAGUUCAAACCUCAGAGCCCAAUCAACCAAAAAUGAAAAAUGAAAGGUUGAAUUUAGAGGCUUUGAUUAAAAAAUAUUAGGAAUUCAACAGGCAGCAAGUAAAGCUGGCAAACAACAAGAGUAAAUACACACUCGGAACUUUUUCUGCUCGCAAAUAUUUUACUAAAAGAGAAAUACCCAAACAGCAAGUAAAGCUGGCAAACGCAAGAGUAAAUCAACUUGUUUGACAAAAGGAAUCAAUCUCUGUAAAAUGCUAAUACCUGGCAGUUGCACAAAACCACCAACUAUAUAGAUCAUUACAACAAAGACUUCCACUGCCUCUCAGUUAUAUCUUAUAUGUAUAAAGGCUUUUCUGCUAAAUGAACAUUUUUUUCCAGCCAACAUCCUUAGCCUGUCAAUGCUCAUAAAUCAAUUAUCUAGGCUGUUCCAUGAUUGCUAUAUGCUUCUUUCUUGCAGGAAAUAUAAGCAUUUAAAGCAUAUGUUGAAUAUGCAAUAAAAUUGUGUGGCUCAUAACAUGGUUGGCCUUGCAAUACUGUGAGCAAUCAACUUUUCCAGGUCAACAAGCCCAAUCCAGUGCUGGCUGUAGCAUGUUUGGUUCAGCACCUGCCUUUGCAUUACGAGGGUCGAGUUUGUGGCAUCAUUUGCCAACACAGUACCAGCACCUGUAAAGUGCAAGAUAUAUUACACAGACAAACAAAGUAGAUUUCUAAACAUAAGAAGAGAAAUCUGCAAAGAGCAUCAAAUGACUUAAUUUCCCUCUCACACAUACCUACAUAAGGCUGGCAUAUCAGACACUACAUCUUUACUAUUGGGCUUGCAUAAAUAAGCAUAACAAAAGCUUUCGUCCUGAUGCAGAUUAUCAUCACCUCUCUUUGUUCUGUUUUUAGUGUUUAUAUUAUUUUCCACUUCCUUUAUUUAGUUUUGGUCAAGGGUGGUUUUUUUUUUUUCUUUUUAAAAAGCUAAGGUGAGAAUAUAUUUAUAAGAACAGAAUUACAUAAUAACCCCAGUUGAAAGGUUCAAACGCAAAAGAACCCACAACCAGCAGGAAGAUGCACCAAAAAAAAAAUCAACAGCAUAAAACAAAGACAGAAACAAAUUAAAUUGAAUUUAAAAAAUUUUAGCAACCACCCUAUCUUGAAGGAAGCAAUUUAGCAGUCUUAACAUCCAUACCUCUUGCAGCAACUACCUCAUUUGAAAUUUAAUCACAACAAAUUAUCUGCAAGUUCAAUGAGAAAACAAAAAUCUAAAUGAUUCUAUCCAUUAAAAAAAAAUCAACAAUAUCUAAAGGCAUACAUCGCAAUAAAUCAAUUUAGCUCUCAAUUAUUGAUAAAGUAAAUUUAACAAAACUAUAUUAUUAAAAUUCACUGAAUGGUAUAUGCCCUCAUAUUCCACAACCCCCUCUCCUCCCCUCUUCUCUUUCACUUUUCUCUUUUCAUCACAUCCCUUCACAAACAAUGCAACAGUUGCCCACUCUCCACUUCCCUAUACAAAUUGACAAUGAAAAGAACAAAUUUUUUCUCUUCAGUCAAGUACAUACUAAUGUGCCCUAAAACCUUAUAGAAACACCAAACCAAAAACCAUCAUUCAUUUCCUUAAAUGAAGCAGAGAGGUGGUGAAUUCCAAACCAUGCAGAUUCCUUAAAUUGAAGGACAUUUUGGUGCAGUGAAUUCUUUUGAGAGAAAUCAAAUUACAAAAUAAUUAUUCCACCUAUGUAGUUGAAUGAAAAAUCAAGCCACAAUACAUGACUAUCAACACAAAUUUGCUCACCCAAAAAGUUCCAACUAUGUGUAUUCAGUUUUUGAUCAUAAUAAGUUGGAAGGAAAAAUUGGACACAAUCACUGGAAAUUUCUCAAGUGGUACAAAAUUAAUAGUAGCAAAAUGCACACAUACUCUUGAAAGCUUUAUCCCAACCACUUACCCUCUUUGAACAUGAAUUCCAUUAGCCUUACACCACAUAAAAUGAGAAAGCCAAUAUUUAGACAUCUAGUUGCACUAGUUCUGCAGUAUCCCAUGAAUUUCACGUAUCAACAACUUUGAACUAUCAACAACGUGUUUGCUUUCAUAGACUAUAUGUCUACAGAAAUCAUGCCUAGGAGCUGGCUUAAAUGGCUGUAAUUGUAUGAAGGGAUCUGAUAUCACAGAUUUCUUGCAUAUCUCCCUUGCUGGUUGCACGUGAUUCAACCAGAAAUCAGCAAGUGCAAAUUUCAUAAUAUCCCAGUAUUCUACAUCUCGAUAUAACCUGAAUAGACUACUCCCUUUAGGAGUCCAAACAUAGAAAUCCAUCCAAUCCCUAUCCAGUAUUUCCAUUAAACCUUGAGCUUGUGGAAUGUGAUAUAAGGGAAUCCGCUUCCAAGGUGAAGCGUUGCUCAUAUCUCCAUUGAAAAAGGGACAUUUUAUUUCCAAAACUCCUCGAGAAGGCAACCCAUAUACCAAUCCGUCAAUCACCCCAUCAGGUGAAGCUCCUAGCCAAUCAUCUUCUGGAUUCCUCUCACCAUAGACCUGAAAUUCAGGAAACAUAACCGUAUUUCCUGUAAUCAACUUGUAUCUUUCAAGUGCUUCCUCUUCUUUAAUGUUGUUCCAACAAGUAGCCAAGUUUCCAGAAAAUGGAUCUAUUGCACCAAUUUUCUCUAACCAAAGUUGGACUCUUCGACCAGGCCAAAAACCAAUAGCCCCAGCAAAAGUGCUUGCUGUCAGUUUAUGCUUUCUUUGCUCUUGCCAGUUUUUGAACCAAUGCUGAAGACCACUUGAUUGAAGAACCGAAAAUUUUUCACCAGUUCGAGAUUUAAGAUGAUGAAAAUAGCUUGAACCUCUUAUAGAGGUAUGUUUGAUCUCAACAUUGGCAGUGGAACUCUUGCUUGUUGGGUGUAAUGAGCUCUGCCUUGAGUAGUUCCUUAUCUUGCCAGAAUCCACAACACGAGCAGCAAUCGUAAAGCUAUAAUCGCAGCUAUUAUCAGACAGAUGGUCAAUGUUUGAAGAGCAAGAUACAAAUUCUUCACGGGUAAUCCUCCAACGAGUCCGAAGCAUAGAGACGCCAAUGGUCCUUUUGCGAAGAAAUGAGAGAAAAUGGAAAUCCUGCGUUUGAAGUGAAAGAUUAUCUGACACCUUCUGUUGUUUUAUAUAUGAGGAAAUGAGAACCCUAGAAUGUAGAGGCUCAAG